rnacentral:rRNA from 1 species
AUGGCGAAGCAAGGGGUUGCUCCCAUGCUUGCCGUGCAGGCGCUGGUCGUCCUUGUUGCCCUCGCAGCAUUUCCAGCAGCGCAGUCUAUCGGCGUCUGCAACGGCGUGAUCGGCAACAACCUGCCGGCGCCCAGCGAUGUCGUUAAGCUCUACAAAUCCAAGGGCAUCAACGCCAUGCGGAUCUACGAGCCGGAGAGCAACGUCCUCAAGGCGCUCAGCGGCACGGGCAUCGGCCUCCUCAUGGACGUCGGCAACGGCGCGCUAACCAGCCUCGCCAACGACCCCUCCGCCGCGCCCGCCUGGGUCAAGGCCAACGUCCAGCCCUACCCGGGCGUCUCCUUCCGCUACAUCGCCGUGGGCAACGAGGUCAUGGACAGCGCCGGCCAGAAGACCAUCCUCCCGGCCAUGAAGAACGUACAGGCGGCGCUCGUGGCCGCCGGCCUCGGCGGCAGCGUCAAGGUGUCCACGUCGUUGCGGUUCGACGUGGUCACCGACACCUACCCGCCCUCCAACGGCGUGUUCGCGGACCUUGACUACAUGGGGCCCAUCGUGGACUUCCUGGCGAGCACCGGCGCGCCGCUGCUGGCCAACGUGUACCCCUACUUCGCCUACAAGGGCGACCCGCAGAACAUCAAGCUCAACUACGCCACCUUCAUGCCGGGCACCACCGUGAACGACGACGGCAACGGCCUGACCUACACCAACCUCUUCUACGCCAUGGUCGACUCCAUCUAUGCCGCGCUGGAGGACGCCAACAAACCGGGGGUGAAGGUCGUCGUGUCCGAGAGCGGAUGGCCGUCGGCUAGUGGCUUUGGGGCGACGAUGCAGAACGCGCAGGCAUACAACCAGGGAUUGAUCAAACAUGUCGGCAAUGGCACGCCCAAGAGGCCCGGGCCGUUGGAGACGUACGUGUUCGCCAUGUUCAACGAGAACCUGAAGACAGGGGAACCGACAGAGAACCACUUUGGGCUGUUCAAUCCGGACAAGUCGCCGGCCUACUCCAUUAGCUUCUGA